rnacentral:rRNA from 1 species
GUAGGUGGCAAGCGUUGUCCGGAAUUAUUGGGCGUAAAGCGCGCGCAGGCGGUUCUUUAAGUCUGAUGUGAAAGCCCACGGCUCAACCGUGGAGGGUCAUUGGAAACUGGAGAACUUGAGUACAGAAGAGGAAAGCGGAAUUCCACGUGUAGCGGUGAAAUGCGUAGAGAUGUGGAGGAACACCAGUGGCGAAGGCGGCUUUCUGGUCUGUAACUGACGCUGAGGCGCGAAAGCGUGGGGAGCAAACAGGGAUUAGAUACCCUGGUAGUCCACGCCGUAAACGAUGAGUGCUAAGUGUUAGGGGGUUUCCCGCCCCUUAGUGCUGCAGCUAGCGCAUUAAGCACUCCGCCUGGGGAGUACGGCCGCAAGGCUG